CAAACUGGGAUUAGAUACCCCACUAUGCCUAGCCCUAAAUCUAGAUACCUCCCAUCACACAUGUAUCCGCCUGAGAACUACGAGCACAAACGCUUAAAACUCUAAGGACUUGGCGGUGCCCCAAACCCACCUAGAGGAGCCUGUUCUAUAAUCGAUAAUCCACGAUUCACCCAACCACCCCUUGCCAGCACAGCCUACAUACCGCCGUCGCCAGCCCACCUCUAAUGAAAGAACAACAGUGAGCUCAAUAGCCCCUCGCUAAUAAGACAGGUCAAGGUAUAGCCUAUGGGGUGGGAGAAAUGGGCUACAUUUUCUAACAUAGAACAAACGAAAAAGGACGUGAAACCCGCCCUUAGAAGGAGGAUUUAGCAGUAAAGUGAGAUCAUACCCCCUAAGCUCACUUUAAGACGGCUCUGAGGCACGUACACACCGCCCGUCACCCUC
rnacentral:rRNA from 1 species